rnacentral:rRNA from 1 species
UACAGAGGUCUCAAGCGUUGUUCGGAUUCAUUGGGCGUAAAGGGUGCGUAGGCGGUGCGGUAAGUCGGGUGUGAAAUCUCGGAGCUUAACUCCGAAACUGCAUUCGAUACUGCCGUGCUUGAGGACUGGAGAGGAGACUGGAAUUUACGGUGUAGCGGUGAAAUGCGUAGAUAUCGUAAGGAAGACCAGUGGCGAAGGCGGGUCUCUGGACAGUUCCUGACGCUGAGGCACGAAGGUCAGGGGAGCAAACGGG